AGCGAACGCUGGCGGCAGGCCUAACACAUGCAAGUCGAACGAACCUUUCGGGGUUAGUGGCGGACGGGUGAGUAACACGUGGGAACGUGCCUUUAGGUUCGGAAUAACUCAGGGAAACUUGUGCUAAUACCGAAUGUGCCCUUCGGGGGAAAGAUUAAUCGCCUUUAGAGCGGCCCGCGUCUGUUUAGCUAGUUGGUUGAGGUAAUGGCUCACCAAGGCGACGAUCAGUAGCUGGUCUGAGAGGAUGAUCAGCCACAUUGGGACUGAGACGCGGCCCAAACUCCUACGGGAGGCAGCAGUGGGGAAUCUUGCGCAAUGGGCGAAAGCCUGACGCAGCCAUGCCGCGUGAAUGAUGAAGGUCUUAGGAUUGUAAAAUUCUUUCACCGGGGACGAUAAUGACGGUACCCGGAGAAGAAGCCCCGGCUAACUUCGUG
rnacentral:rRNA from 1 species